GGUAUGGGAUGAGCUUGCGUCCGAUUAGCUAGUUGGCGGGGCAACGGCCCACCAAGGCGACGAUCGGUAGCCGGCCUGAGAGGGUGAUCGGCCACAUUGGGACUGAGAUACGGCCCGGACUCCUACGGGAGGCAGCAGUAGGGAAUAUUGCACAAUGGGGGAAACCCUGAUGCAGCAACGCCACGUGUGGGAAGAAGCAUUUCGGUGUGUAAACCACUGUCAUGAGGGAAUAAGGCCCGCCUUCGGACGGGAUUGAAUGUACCUUGAGAGGAAGCACCGGCAAACUUCGUGCCAGCAGCCGCGGUAAUACGAGGGGUGCAAGCGUUGUUCGGAAUUACUGGGCGUAAAGGGAGCGUAGGCGGAGAUUCAAGCGGAUUGUACAAUCCCGGGGCCCAACCCCGGCUCUGCAGUCCGAACUGGAUCUCUUGGAUAGUUCAGGGGCAGGC
rnacentral:rRNA from 1 species